rnacentral:rRNA from 1 species
AAAGGAAUUGACGGGGGCCCGCACAAGCGGUGGAGCAUGUGGUUUAAUUCGAUGCUACGCGAAAAACCUUACCUGGACUUGACAUCCUGUGCUACUCUGUGAAAGCAGAGGUUCCUUUCGGGGACGCAGAGACAGGUGCUGCAUGGCUGUCGUCAGCUCGUGUUGUGAGAUGUUGGGUUAAGUCCCGCAACGAGCGCAACCCUCGCCGUUAGUUACCAUCAUUAAGUUGGGCACUCUAACGGAACCGCUUGGCUAUAAGCCAGAGGAAGGUGGGGAUGACGUCAAGUCCUCAUGGCCCUUAUGUCCAGGGCUACACACGUGCUACAAUGGGGUGGACAAAGCGCUGCUACUUUGCAAAAAGAUGCGAAUCGCAAAAACCACUCCUCAGUUCGGAUUGGAGUCUGCAACUCGACUCCAUGAAGCUGGAAUCGCUAGUAAUCGCGGAUCAGCAUGCCGCGGUGAAUACGUUCCCGGGCCUUGUACACACCGCCCGU